AUUGAACGCUAGCGGGAUGCCUUACACAUGCAAGUCGAACGGCAGCGCGGACUUCGGUCUGGCGGCGAGUGGCGAACGGGUGAGUAAUGUAUCGGAACGUGCCCAGUAGCGGGGGAUAACUACUCGAAAGAGUAGCUAAUACCGCAUACGCCUACGGGGAAGGGGGGAGUCGCAAGACCUCUCACUAUUGGAGCGGCCGAUAUCGGAUUAGCUAGUUGGUGAGGUAAAGGCUCACCAAGGCGACGAUCCGUAGCUGGUUUGAGAGGACGACCAGCCACACUGGGACUGAGACACGGCCCAGACUCCUACGGGAGGCAGCAGUGGGGAAUUUUGGACAAUGGGGGAAACCCUGAUCCAGCCAUUCCGCGUGUGCGAUGAAGG
rnacentral:rRNA from 1 species